rnacentral:rRNA from 1 species
GCAAGUCGAACGGUAGCACAGAGCGCUUGCUCUCGGGUGACGAGUGGCGGACGGGUGAGUAAUGUCUGGGAAACUGCCCGAUGGAGGGGGAUAACUACUGGAAACGGUAGCUAAUACCGCAUAACGUCGCAAGACCAAAGAGGGGGACCUUCGGGCCUCUUGCCAUCGGAUGUGCCCAGAUGGGAUUAGCUAGUAGGUGGGGUAACGGCUCACCUAGGCGACGAUCCCUAGCUGGUCUGAGAGGAUGACCAGCCACACUGGAACUGAGACACGGUCCAGACUCCUACGGGAGGCAGCAGUGGGGAAUAUUGCACAAUGGGCGCAAGCCUGAUGCAGCCAUGCCGCGUGUAUGAAGAAGGCCUUCGGGUUGUAAAGUACUUUCAGCGAGGAGGAAGGCAUUAAGGUUAAUAACCUUAGUGAUUGACGUUACUCGCAGAAGAAGCACCGGCUAACUCCGUGCCAGCAGCCGCGGUAAUACGGAGGGUGCAAAGCGUUAAUCGGAAUUACUGGGCGUAA